rnacentral:rRNA from 1 species
AACGAACGCUGGCGGCAGGCCUAACACAUGCAAGUCGAGCGAGGACUUCGGUCCUAGCGGCGGACGGGUGAGUAACGCGUGGGAACGUGCCCUUUGCUACGGAAUAGCCCCGGGAAACUGGGAGUAAUACCGUAUGUGCCCUUCGGGGGAAAGAUUUAUCGGCAAAGGAUCGGCCCGCGUUGGAUUAGGUAGUUGGUGGGGUAAUGGCCUACCAAGCCGACGAUCCACAGCUGGUUUGAGAGGAUGAUCAGCCACACUGGGACUGAGACACGGCCCAGACUCGUACGGGAGGCAGCAGUGGGGAAUCGUAGACAAUGGGGGAAGCCUGAUCUAGCCAUGCCGCGUGAUCGAUGAAGGCCUGAGGGUUGUAAAGAUCUUUCAGGUGGGAAGAUAAUGACUGUACCACCAGAAGAAGUCCCGGCUAACUCCGUGCCAGCCGCCGCGGUAAGAC